rnacentral:lncRNA from 1 species
AGCUUCUCUUUGAAGUCCGAGAAGUGAGGAUGCGCCUCGUGGGUCGCAGCGGGGGAGGAAAGGGGAGAAGAGGGGGAAUGCCUCCACCUCCAAACUGCUACAUUAAAGAAAGUUUGCAAGUUCCCUGAAGGACAGAUACGGAAGAUUAUAAAACCAGCUUCUAGUUUGUCUCCAUGUGGAAGUUCAGCCUUCUGGCCUCUCCCGCACCUCUUCAGUAUCUAUCCUCCUACCGAGCACCCAUCUGAUGGAUCUCUCCCCACUGCAACCCACCCUCCUCUCCAGGACCACUUUUUCUUGCCUGUAAUUCUGGCCUUAGGAAUGCCCAGAGGAGAUCUGUACCCAAAAAGUAUGUUUGAGCAAAGCUAAGUCUCCAGAAUAAAGAUAAUCCCAAUUUACAA